rnacentral:rRNA from 1 species
CAUGCAAGUCGAACGCGUCUUGGUUAAUGAUGUUAGGUGCUUGCAUUUAACUGAUUUAACAUUGAGACGAGUGGCGAACUGGUGAGUAACACGUGGGUAACCUGCCCUGAAGUGGGGGAUAACACUUGGAAACAGGUGCUAAUACCGCAUAACAACGAAAACCACAUGGUUUUCGUUUGAAAGAUGGCUUCGGCUGUCACUUUUGGAUGGACCCGCGGCGUAUUAGCUUGUUGGUGAGGUAACGGCUCACCAAGGCCAUGAUACGUAGCCGACCUGAGAGGGUAAUCGGCCACAUUGGGACUGAGACACGGCCCAAACUCCUACGGGAGGCAGCAGUAGGGAAUCUUCCACAAUGGACGAAAGUCUGAUGGAGCAACGCCGCGUGAGUGAUGAAGGGUUUCGGCUCGUAAAACUCUGUUGUUGGAGAAGAACAGGUGAUAGAGUAACUGUUAUCAUCUUGACGGUAUCCAACCAGAAAGCCACGGCUAACUACGUGCCAGCAGCCGCGGUAAUACGUAGGUGGCAAGCGUUGUCCGGAUUUAUUGGGCGUAAAGCGAGCGCAGGCGGUUUUUUAGGUCUGAUGUGAAAGCCUUCGGCUUAACCGGAGAAGGGCAUCGGAAACCGGGAGACUUGAGUGCAGAAGAGGACAGUGGAACUCCAUGUGUAGCGGUGAAAUGCGUAGAUAUAUGGAAGAACACCAGUGGCGAAGGCGGCUGUCUGGUCUGUAACUGACGCUGAGGCU